rnacentral:rRNA from 1 species
AUUGAACGCUGGCGGCAUGCUUUACACAUGCGAGUCGAACGGUAACAGGCCGCAAGGUGCUGACGAGUGGCGAACGGGUGAGUAAUGCAUCGGAACGUGCCCAGUCGUGGGGGAUAACUACUCGAAAGAGUAGCUAAUACCGCAUACGAUCUAUGGAUGAAAGCGGGGGACCGUAAGGCCUCGCGCGAUUGGAGCGGCCGAUGUCAGAUUAGGUAGUUGGUGGGGUAAAGGCUCACCAAGCCAACGAUCUGUAGCUGGUCUGAGAGGACGACCAGCCACGCUGGGACUGAGACACGGCCCAGACUCCUACGGGAGGCAGCAGUGGGGAAUUUUGGACAAUGGGCGCAAGCCUGAUCCAGCAAUGCCGCGUGCAGGAAGAAGGCCUUCGGGUUGUAAACUGCUUUUGUACGGAACGAAACGGCUCUGGUUAAUACCCGGGGCUAAUGACGGUACCGUAAGAAUAAGCACCGGCUAACUACGUG